rnacentral:ncRNA from 2 species
ACAAACAAUCGAAUGAAAACUCAUAUAAUCGUAGGGAUAUGGCCUACAAGUUUCUACCAGGUUACCGUAAAUGACUUGACUAUGAGUGAUAAUCUUGCAUCG